CCUACGGGAGGCAGCAGUGGGGAAUUUUGGACAAUGGGCGCAAGCCUGAUCCAGCAAUGCCGCGUGCAGGAUGAAGGCCUUCGGGUUGUAAACUGCUUUUGUACGGAACGAAAAAGUCUGCCCUAAUACGGUGGGCCCAUGACGGUACCGUAAGAAUAAGCACCGGCUAACUACGUGCCAGCAGCCGCGGUAAUACGUAGGGUGCGAGCGUUAAUCGGAAUUACUGGGCGUAAAGCGUGCGCAGGCGGUUAUAUAAGACAGAUGUGAAAUCCCCGGGCUCAACCUGGGACCUGCAUUUGUGACUGUAUAGCUAGAGUACGGUAGAGGGGGAUGGAAUUCCGCGUGUAGCAGUGAAAUGCGUAGAUAUGCGGAGGAACACCGAUGGCGAAGGCAAUCCCCUGGACCUGUACUGACGCUCAUGCACGAAAGCGUGGGGAGCAAACAGGAUUAGAUACCCUGGUAGUCCACGCCCUAAACGAUGUCAACUGGUUGUUGGGUCUUCACUGACUCAGUAACGAAGCUAACGCGNGAGUGACGCGNGGNGGUAACGGCGCGAGUUAGUAAGUUAGAAGAAGUUGNGNGNGNGAGNGCGAGCGACGACGAGGGAGGAGG
rnacentral:rRNA from 1 species